AACGAACGCUGGCGGCAUGCCUAACACAUGCAAGUCGAACGAAAACUUCCGCUCUAGUGGCACACGGGUGCGUAACGCGUGGGAACCUGCCCUUAAACUCGGACUAAACCCCCGGAAAAGGUCCUAAUACCGGGUAAUGUCUUCGGACCAAGGUUGUGUCGCCUUUGGAUGGGCGCGCGUUGGCUUCGCUAGGUGGUAGAGUAGAAGCCUACCAAGGCGACGAUCCAUAGCUGGUCUGAGAGGGGGAUCAGCCACACUGGGACUGAGACGCGGCCCAGCCCCCGAGGGGAGGCAGCAGAGGGGAAUAUUGGACAAGGGGCGAAAGCCCAAUCCAGCAAUGCGGCGUGUGUGAGGAAGGGCUUAGGGUUGUAAAGCUCUUUGACCCGGGAUGAGAAUGACAGUACCGGGAGAAGAAGCACCGGCUAACUCCGUG
rnacentral:rRNA from 1 species